AUGCCGGACCCUAACCUGGACGAUCUGCUUCUCCAGGCCGCGGGUCGGACCGUGGGGAAGGGCGGCCAGUCCCGGCAGUCGAACCAGCGCUGGCAGCAGCACGGGCGCCGCGCUGGGGGCUCCUACUCCGGCGGGAGCGGCUCCGAUGGCUCCGACGACGGCGACUCCGACUCGGACGUCGCGCCGAGCCACCCGAGGAAGAGGCUGCCGCCGGGCUCGCAGGUGCCGCUCAAGAAGAGGCACCAGACGGGGAAGGGCGGCGGCCGGGGAGGAGGAGGGUACGACGACGAGGACCCUGAUGACGAGGGGAGGCGGAGCGGGGGUGAGGACUCCGACAGCGCGCCGUCCGUCGGGAGCGACCUGUACAAGGACGAGGACGACAAGGAGCAGCUGGAGAACAUGACGGAGCUGCAGAGGGAGAUGAUCCUGGCGGAGCGGAGCACCAGGAUCGACGACUACAAGCUCAAGAAGCUGGCACGGGCGUCCUCGUCCAAGGCGGAUAAGGCCCGGAAGGACAGCCCUCCCCCACCGCCCAGCCGGCUGCGGGCCUCGGCCCGGACUGACAGGUCUGCCACCAAGAGCGCACUCGACGAGCUGCGAGCCAAGAGGAUGAGGCAGCAGGAUCCGGAAGGGUACCGUAACAGGUUCAAGGAUCUGGUUCCCAAGAGUGGCGGCUCGCCUAAUAGACGCAGGGCUGGAACCCCCCCGAGCGAUGGCAGCAAUGAUGGCGGUAACAGGGGGAGGAUGAACGACCAUGUUGGGAUUGCUGAGGAUAAUCGGGAUGAUGAGUUUGACGAAUCACCAAGUAGACUUGACCCUCUCAAGUUUGAUGAUGUGAAGAGCAUAACCCUUCGGAGGUCAAAGCUGGUGAAGUGGUUCAUGGAACCCUUUUUUGAGGACCUUGUAUCUGGUUGCUUUGUGCGGCUUGGGAUUGGCAAGACAAAAUCAGGCACCCCCAAGUACAGGCUGUGCAUAGUUAGAAACGUGGAUGCUAACGACCCAGAUCGGCAGUACAAACUGGAGAGUUACGAAACAUGCAAGUAUCUCAAUGUUGUAUGGGAUAAUGAAGCUAAUGCUGCUCGGUGGCAGAUGACUCAGGUCUCCGACUCUCCUGUCCUUGAAGAAGAGUUCAAGGAGUGGCUUCAAGAGGCUGAAAAGAAUGGCGUACGCAUACCAACCCGGCAGGAAGUGCUGGAGAAGAAAGAAGCCAUUAUAGAGGCCUACAAUUUUGUGUAUUCAGCAGCUACUGUACAGCGGAUGCUGAAAGAGAAAUCAGCUGUGAGACGUCCUAUGAAUGUUGCUGCUGAGAAGGAUAGGUUGAGGGAUCAGUUGGAGAUGGCCCUGGUCCGGAGGGAUGAUGCAGAAGCAGAAAGGAUCCGUGCAAGGCUGAAUCAUCUGCAGAAGAUUGCUCAGCCAAUGUCAACUAAUGAGAAGGCAGCAAAGUUAGAGGAGAUGAACAGGAAGAACCGUGCUGAGAAUUUCAAGAAUGCAUCAGAAAUGAAAGCUGUUAAUACAAGUUUGAAGGCUGGAGAGGCUGGUUAUGAUCCUUUCUCAAGGAGGUGGACAAGAUCGAGGAACUAUUAUGCAGCAAAGCCAGAAGGAGAAGCAGAAAAUGCUGAAGCCGCCAAUGGCAACAGCGAUAAUGUAAUAGCUGUGACGGAAGCUGUGAAGGGUGGGGUGCGAGUUGGUACAGCAGUCACAGCUUCAGCUCUAGUAGCAGCUGCUGAAGCUGGGAAGCUGGUUGAUACCAACGCACCUUUGGAUCUCGGGACAGAAACGAAUCCGCUACAUAAUUUUGAACUUCCUAUAUCAUUGGCUGUUCUGGAGCAGUAUGGUGGACCCAAAGGUCAGUUUGAGGCCUACAUGGCGAGGAAGCAGAAGAUAGAAGCAACGAUGGGUUACAAAAUCCCUGACAAUGAUGGAAGGAGGCAUGCUCUAACUCUGUCUGUGAGCGACUACAAAAGGCGACGUGGUCUUCUUUGA
rnacentral:rRNA from 1 species